ensembl:lncRNA
CGUGUUAUCUGUUUCCUUUUUGUUUUUGCCCUGUUGGCCUUUUUGUUCUUAUUAAAGUGAUAAUUUCCCUGCAUUUGGACCCAGACCCUGUUUCUUCCACGGCGCUCUUUACCGCGCCGUGACAGAAUACAGCCAGCAGUUAUGGGUUCAGCAGGGAGGUUCCUCGAUGUCCGCCAGGGAGAGCGAAGCAUCGAGGAUUAUGCCUGGCACUUCGUCGGGGCGGCUCGGUUUUCGGCGACAGAGAAGACCUGUCUUAUGGUCUUCUUUUGGGGAGGACUGGCCGAGCCCUUUAAAAUAUUCAUGCCAUACUGGCACCCCGACGAGACGCUGGAGGACUACAUUAACCUGGCUCUGCAGCUGAGUGGCUCAGCCGUCAGGGUGGGGGGGCCGACCCAGGAAGUUCCCGGCGAGGCGGCGGGGCUCGCUUCCGGCUUUCAUGAAGCGGCCGAGCCCGCAGAUGUUCCCUGCGAGGCAGCGGGGCUCGCCUCCGGCUUUCACGAAGCGGCCGAGCCCGCAGAUGUUCCCUGCGAGGCGGCGGGCGCCGCUCACGACUCUCCCGAAGUCCCCGAGGCGGCGGUGGCCGUUCACGACUCUCCCGAAGUCCCCGAGGCGGCGGCGGGUGCCGCUCACGACUCACAGAGGCGGCAGUGGCCGCUCGGAAAGAGCCAGAGGCGAAGGUGUCCGCUCACGAUCCCGGUUUUGCCCUGGGUUCCCACUCCACCGGCUCUGCCUCAGUCACCUGGUCCCCCUCCAGCACACGGACCUCUCCUCUGGGUGGGGGGCCGCUGGAACGUCUGGAAUCCGUUCCUUAGAGGGGGGUCCUGUCAUGAGUCCGGACCCGGGGUUUCUCCUUCUCACCACCAGAGGGCGCCACUUCCAUUCUCCCGGACUCAUUACCGUCACUCUGCACACCUGGUUUACUCGACACACCUGUUUCACCCACUCACACGCACACACCUGGUGCCUAUUGUCACGGACUAUAUAGUUUUGUCUCACCCACCACUCUGCCUGGCUGUAUUGUUUAUUGUUAAUUGUUAGUCGAAUUCCGAGGUGUAUGCGUG